CUAAAAAAGAAAGGAACUUCAUUAUUAUAUAUCAAUUGCACUAGACAUUCAAUCAGGAUUGUAAUUUACUAAUGGCAAUCUUUUGGAAGUAAAAAGUUUACACACUCAAGAAUCAAUCAAACUCGAUCAUUUUAGCAUCAACUGAAACUAUAAAUUGAAGAGAAUAGGUAAUCAUCAGUAUUUGCAAGUAUUAUGUUGGGCUAUGGGGCAUCAUGGACCUGCGAUUAGAUCCGUGCAUCCUUUUCUGUUCUAUUCCUAAAAUAGCAAUCUAAGACUUGUUGAUAGUUUGCGAAUGGCUUAAGUGACUCAAAAUUAGAAAGCUAUGCUCUUUGACUCGGGGCCUCCUCCCACAGCUUGUCAUGGCAUCCACAAAAACCAAUCCACAAUAUUCCAACUGCAGAGUUUGUCCAGAAAAGGAGCUCCUCACUCUGAAAAUGCAUCUCUCAAACACCGAUUGCAGGAUGCUACAACAGUAGGGAUAAUCUUCCUUUCACAACCAUCUAAAAGCAGUAAGACUCAUUGCUCUUCUGAACUUUGUAUGUUUAUUAAAUGUUCUUCAAGACUCUUAGCGGAAUCUUCAUUAACUAACCAUGUCACAGUUCCUGCAGUAAAAUACAAGAGAUGAGGCUAACAAAUGACGUCAUAAGCUCACAUUAAUAGCAUGUUUGCCACAAACAAAAACAGAUAGUAAUCCUACUAUGAAAAAAGCAUAUACAAACAGUCAACUAUAACAAUGCAACCUGAAUUUCAGAACAUUUUAAUUGACAGGCAACCAGAAAAUCUGUUCAAAUGUGAGAAGUCAGAGGAUUUUGGAUAUGUGCCAACAUCAGGGCAAAACACCCGCUUGUCAGUACACAGUUUGUUCUGGCAUCAUAUGGACUCAGCUGAAGAAAACAAAGACUUUCCUGCAGAUUAUUUUCUAGAUACAGAGAAACAAGAUAAUCAAUAUAAUAGCAUCAUUUGCUUGACAAAAUUUUUGGGUUUCUAAUGACACCCAUGGACUCCAUAUUAAGGAGGAUAACCUCCAAGUUCCUAGUCAACACACACACACACACACAGAGAAUGUUUCCCAUCUUUCAGAUGCAGACAAUUAGAGUUUAAGGACUUCAUGUAAUAUGGAUUUCAUUAUCCAGAUUUUCAUUAGGACUCAUUUGGAAUAUGUUUUUUACGCAUAUGUUGGUCCUUGCACUGUCUUAUAUGUGUGUUUAUUUCAGUAAAUUAGUUGCUGUCAGUAUUUUUACAUUUAGGGGCAAGGUUGACUCUUUUAAUUUCUAUCUUCGCUAGAAUAGGCUGGGAUAGAUGACUUCAAACUUACGUUGAAUCUUGGUUUUUCCCAGAGCUUUACUUUUAGUUCAAAGCACAAAUCCUUUCAGGCUUGAGAUCAGUUUUAUGAGUCCAGCUCCUUAAUAUUUAUACGUAAUUUAAGAACAAAUAUAUUAAUGCCCUUAAUGCUUUCAUUAUCUGUAUCUUAUAUAAACAGCAUGAAGUGUGACAUUUGGAAUGCUGAAAAAUGUCCUUAGAAACUCUAGUUAUUACAAUUCUGCCACGCCUUUUAAAUUGUAUUCGAUUUGUCAUUUGAUUUAAUUACAAGUUUGCCAUUUUUAGCUGUAAAAUUUUUUGGGGAUGUCAAAAAAUGUCCUUUUAAACUCUAUUUAAUUACAAAUUUGCCAGUUCCUCUUAAAUUCUAUUUAACCAUGUCCUUAAACUAACAUAAGAUGGCAAAAUUAUAUUGAUUAAUUAGAAUUAUGAGAGUUAUAGAGGAUUCCUUGAGAUUUGGCGAAACUUAUAACUUAAUCCCUUAAAUUUUUUUUUCCCCCAAAGGUAGAUUGCAUUAAUAGCCCAAGGAGGGCAAGGAAAACAUACAAAGUUAAACUGAGUCGAAGGAUUUAGAUAGAAAGAAUCAUCCCCUAGCAAGACAGUAGGCUGCAGAGUUCCUUAUCCUGUUGACAUGAGCAAAGUUUAUCAUAUCCAAAUUUCUACUCAAACAAAUGGAGUCUGAAAUAACACGUUGAAUGAUUGGAUGCUGCAUAAACCUCUACACUGAUUAAUUAUCAAUAGAGCAUUGCCUUCAAUAAUAACUCUUUGGAGCUUCAUGCGAUUAGCUAGUAUUGUUGCUUCUCGACAAGCCAAGGCUUCCAAAAUUAUAGGUUCUGUAAUACCAUGGAACCUCCUACAGAACCAUCCCAGCAGCUUGCUAUCAGCAUUUCUAGCUACGACAACUACUGCGCCCAUCUUUGAAGACUAACAGACUGCUCCCUCAAAAUUGAUUUUAACAACUCCUUGUGGUGGAGGGAACCAAGUCAUGGGUGAAAUGUAAUGGCCCGGCCCACUAG
rnacentral:misc_RNA from 1 species